AUUGCGCAUGCGCGCGCCCGGGCGGCGCGGGAUCUGGGUCUGGGGAUGUGGUACCGGCUGCUGGCGGCGGCCGGCAGUAGAGCGGUGGCCAGGCCGCUGGCCUUGCUGUGGCGAUGUGGUGGCCCAGGAGGCGGCAGGACGGCCAAGACCAGCGCGAGGGCCCUGGGCAAGGCCCGACAGGGUUUGAGAAAUACUUUAAGAGGAGUGGAAGGAACACAAACUGAGAAACAUCAACAGCACCAAAAAAAGAGACUGGUGAACUAGAGAAUGCUGAGUCUGGAGGAGACGGAGGCAGGAGAGGAGGGAAGCAGGAUAACGUUGCCUGGUGGAGGCGGAUGCAGAAGGGGGGACUUCCCCUGGGAUGACGAGGAUUUCCGCAGUCUGGCCCUUUUGGGGGCAGGCGUUGCCAUGGGAUUUUUCUACCUCUAUUUUCGAGAUCCUGGAAGAGAAAUCACGUG
rnacentral:lncRNA from 1 species